CAAACUCCUAAUUACCAAAAGCGGCGAGAUCAACGUGGCCUCCACGCCGGAAGAAGGCACCCGACUAUUGAGAGACUGGGGGCUCCUUACAAACCCCCCCCCCACAACUCAAGCAAGUCCAGCGAGACGUCUGACACCAGAAUGGCGCCAGGUCCCAACACGGAACAAAUCGCCAUGAUCCACCCGAGGGACUAGGCCGUCCAGGCCAUAACCAGGGACACGUGAGAUAUUAAUAUGUACUGCUAAUUGUUAUCACAAGUUUAGUUUAAGUUUUUCUUUUUCAUGUGAUUGUACUGCUAAUUGUUAUCACAAGUUUAGUUUAAGUUUUUUCCUUUUUAUGUGAUCAACUGCUUUGAUUAGCAUUUUAUUCACUUACCACACAAUCAUACCACACUAUGCAUGGUUUGUUGGAUGCGGGCGGGUGGGAUGCCCACAUGGGUGAUAACCAGGGCAAACUUUGGGCAACAAGGAAGGGCGGCAUGGUAUAGGCAAAGAAAAGACCAGUAGUUAGAGGUGAUCCUAAUACCUAAAUAUUAUUUACAAGGUUGAGGUUAUGCAUACAUAAGACAGGUAUUCCAAGAAUGUACAAAGGUGCACAACGAUUAUGUAAAUCACCAGGACAUUGUCCAUAGAGAGAAAAUUGUACAUGACACCAUAUAAACCUCUAUCGUUUUACGAGUAGGUCAAACCCACUACAACCGCACCGCCCCGCCUCACUACGUAGCCUGGCUCAUCACAUCCAAAAGCUACGAUGGGAGAACCACACCCCACCAUAAAGACCGACACGACAAGUGGGAAACCCACGACAGGCACCAAGCGGUGACCUGCACACCGCCCCGCUAAACCUUCCCUUGGGUCCGAUUUGAUUCUCUUACCCAUGCCCACAGGCCAGCACUGAGAAUGCCAUGCACAAUACCUAGGUCGCUAUUGACUUAUAGCUCUGAGGAGAGACAGCAACUAUGUACACAAGGGAGCCCAACGGCCACAAUACCAGAGACGCUGUUUCAGCGCUCCUCCCCCAUGGCACGAUGCCACUGUGCCAAGA
rnacentral:lncRNA from 1 species